UACAGAGGGUGCGAGCGUUGUCCGGAAUUACUGGGCGUAAAGGGCGCGUAGGCGGCUUGGUAAGUCGGGGGUGAAAGUCAGCGGCUCAACCGCUGGACUGCCUUCGAGACUGCCUGGCUUGAGCAUGGUAGAGGCUGGCGGAAUUCCCGGUGUAGCGGUGGAAUGCGUAGAGAUCGGGAAGAACAUCGGUGGCGAAGGCGGCCUGCUGGGCUGUUGCUGACACUGAGGCGCGACAGCGUGGGGAGCAAACAGG
rnacentral:rRNA from 1 species